rnacentral:rRNA from 1 species
GACGAACGCUGACGGUGUGCUUUAGACAUGCAAGUCGAACGAGAAAGCCCUUCGGGUUAGUAAAGUGGCGAACGGGUGAGUAACACGUGGGCAAUCUGCCCCUCGCAGGGGGACAACCGGAGGAAACCCCGGCUAAUACCCCGUAAGUUCAAAGGGAGGCAUCUCCCCUUGAAGAAAGGUAGCUUCGGCCAUCCGGCGAGGGAUGAGCCCGCGGUGCAUUAGCUAGUUGGUGGGGUAACGGCCCACCAAGGCGACGAUGCAUAGCUGGUCUGAGAGGAUGAUCAGCCACACUGGGACUGAGACACGGCCCAGACUCCUACGGGAGGCAGCAGGUCGGGAAUCUUGCGCAAUGGGCGAAAGCCUGACGCAGCAACACCGUGUGUGUGAGGAAGGCCC